AAUAAAAUAAAAAAAAUAAUUUUGGUGUCUUUGAAAGAAAAACUUUGCUCCCUCUACCAUCAACCAUCAAUUCUAACAUAGAUUUAUUUCUAUUUAUUUCCUUCUAAAAAAAAACUUGCUAUCUAAAGGGUUAAGAAAAUGUGGGGAAAUAUCAGUUAAAUUGUAUAAACAAUUUGGUUGCUCUUGCUCAGUUGACAGAAAUACUGUUUUAUAUACACUUUGCUUGCU